rnacentral:rRNA from 1 species
CCUACGGGUGGCAGCAGUGGGGGAUAUUGCACAAUGGGGGGAACCCUGAUGCAGCGACGCCGCGUGGGUGAAGAAGCGCCUCGGCGCGUAAAGCCCUGUCAGCAGGGAAGAAAAUGACGGUACCUGAAGAAGAAGCCCCGGCUAACUACGUGCCAGCAGCCGCGGUAAUACGUAGGGGGCAAGCGUUAUCCGGAUUUACUGGGGGUAAAGGGGGCGCAGACGGCGAUGCAAGCCAGGAGUGAAAGCCCGGGGCCCAACCCCGGGACUGCUCUUGGAACUGCGUGGCUGGAGUGCAGGAGAGGUAGGCGGAAUUCCUAGUGUAGCGGUGAAAUGCGUAGAUAUUAGGAGGAACACCAGUGGCGAAGGCAGCUUACUAAACUAUAACUGACACUGAAGCACGAAAGCGUGGGGAUCAAACAGGAUUAGAUACCCUAGUAGUC